CCUACGGGAGGCAGCAGUAGGGAAUUUUGCGCAAUGGGCGAAAGCCUGACGCAGCAACGCCGCGUGAUCGAGACGCCCUUCGGGGUGUAAAGAUCUGUCAGUGGGGACGAAACUUGACGGUACCCACAGAGGAAGCACCGGCUAACUCCGUGCCAGCAGCCGCGGUAAUACGUAGGGGGCAAGCGUUAUCCGGAUUCACUGGGUGUAAAGGGAGCGUAGACGGCCAUGCAAGCCAGGGGUGAAAGCCCGGGGCCCAACCCCGGCACUGCGCUUGGAACUGCAUGGCUGGAGUGCGGGAGGGGCAGGCGGAAUUCCUGGUGUAGCGGUGAAAUGCGUAGAUAUCAGGAGGAACACCGGCGGCGAAGGCGGCCUGCUGGACCGCGACUGACGUUGAGGCUCGAAAGCGUGGGGAGCGAACAGGAUUAGAUACCCCAGUAGUC
rnacentral:rRNA from 1 species